AGAUUGAACGCUAGCGGGAUGCUUUACACAUGCAAGUCGAACGGCAGCGCGGACUUCGGUCUGGCGGCGAGUGGCGAACGGGUGAGUAAUAUAUCGGAACGUGCCCAGUAGCGGGGGAUAACUACGCGAAAGCGUGGCUAAUACCGCAUACGCCCUACGGGGGAAAGGGGGGGAUCGCAAGACCUCUCACUAUUGGAGCGGCCGAUAUCAGAUUAGCUAGUUGGUGAGGUAAAGGCUCACCAAGGCGACGAUCUGUAGCUGGUUUGAGAGGACGACCAGCCACACUGGGACUGAGACACGGCCCAGACUCCUACGGGAGCAGCAGUGGGGAAUUUGGACAAUGGGGGAAACCCUGAUCCAGCCAUCCCGCGUGUGCGAUGAAGGCCUGGUUGUAAGUA
rnacentral:rRNA from 1 species